UAUCAUUGAUGACAGUUAUCCUGAAACUGAUUACCUAAAGAAAAGCAUAUAUGGAUUCAGCUUCAGAGAU
ensembl:snoRNA